CUGGAAUCUACGGAGCCCCCCUAGUGUCAGGUAAGAGAAAAAAACACAGCCGUGUGUAAUCCGUGCCCUCAGUUUUGCAAACCGUACCUUCGGUUUUGCCAUACGUGCCCUCGAUUUUGUAAACCGUACCCUAAGUUUUGCAAUCCGUGCCCUCGGUUUUGCAAUCCGUGCUCUCGGUUUGUACUCUGCGUGCGCUUCCUUCUUCACUUCUUUCUGCAGCAAACAAGAGACCAUAGGACUUUUCGAUGGCGUACAUCUGCCUGAAUGGACCAGAUUUUAGACAUGUUCCUUCGAGUGAGGAGGUUAUUGCCACCUUCAUCAAUGAAAAGAUUGACUGCCAUGCUGUCCAUGGUAUGACAGAUGACCAGCUAAUUAAAUAUGUGCCCAAAAUUGGAGAUCGGAUAGCUAUUCGGCAGUACUGCAGAAGAGAAAUGGCUGCAUUGGAAGGAACCACCGCAACUAUCUCUAAGGCUACAGAAAGCCUGAUGGCAAAAAAACAAAACAAAGACGGGCCUCCAAGAGAAGUCGUGGGGAUGAUCGUUCAGAAAAAUUGUCGGGUAACACUAAUGCUCUGAAAACGGAGCGUGCUUUUCAAAUGGGAUUGUUUGAAGAAGUAGGGGACUCUUGUAUUCAGGUAAAAGAGAAAAGGGGAGGAGGGAUCAGACAUUUGAAAGCAUUGAAGACUACUACAAUGGCACAGCUGUUGGAGACUGGCAAAGAACUCUUUUUUCCGAAUGUAAAAUGUAAAAUAGGCAAUGCCAAUGAAUUUGAAUUCACCAUGCGAGAUGUUACUGAAGAUCAGCUGGAUCCAUUGACCACACUAGCUCAGCAAUAUGAGAAGAGAAAAGUUAAAUUGUUGAGACUGUAUCUAUCUUGCAAAAAGAUUGACAUUGAAGGAGAUGAAACACUGAAUGCUGCUACCUCACCUGGUGAAUCACAAAAUGCAUCAGCCCUCACAAGUGAAUCAUGCUGUGCAGCUGCUGCUUCACAUGGAGCUGUUUCCAUAAUUGGAUCUCCCAGUGGAACUGCUUUCACAACUGGAACUCCAAGUACAAGUGAAUUUGCCAGUCCAAUGUCGAGUGAAACUUUGAAUGCCGUAGAUUACAGUAUCUCUUUGUAAAUAUUUGAUUAUAUCUUUUCAUGUGACAACAUUGAAGAAAUGACACUUUGCUAUAAUGUAAAGUAGUGAGUGUACAGCUUGUGAAACUGUGUAGAUUUGCUGUCCCCUCAAAAUAACUCAAUACACAGCCAUUAAUGUCUAAACCGCUGGCAACAAAAUUGAGUACACCCCUAAGUGAAAAUGUCCAAAUUGGGCCCAAAGCUUCAAUAUUUUGUGUGGCCACCAUUAUUUUCCAGCACUGCCUUAACCCUCUUGGGCAUGGAGUUCACCAGAGCUUCACAGAUUGCCACUGGAGUCCUCUUCCACUCCUCCAUGAUGACAUCACGGAGCUGGUGGAUGUUAGAGACAUCCACCUUCCAUUUGAGGAUGCCCCACAGAUGCUCAAUAGGGUUUAGUCCAUCACCUUCACCCUCAGCUUCUUUAGCAAGGCAGUGGUCGUCUUGGAGGUGUGUUUGGGGUCGUUAUUAUGCUGGAAUACUGCCCUGCGUCCCAGUCUCCGAAGGGAUGGGAUCAUGCUCUGCUUCAGUAUGUCAGACCAUGACACUCCCACCACCAUGCUUGACUGUAGGCAAGACACACUUGUCUUUGUACUCCUCACCUGGUUGCCGCCACACACGCUUGACACCAUCUGAACCAAAUAAGUUUAUCUUGGUCUCAUCAGACCACAGGACAUGGUUCCAGUAAUCCAUGUCCUUAGUAUGCUUGUCUUCAGCAAACUGUUUGCGGGCUUUCUUGUGCAUCAUCUUUAGAAAAGGCUUCCUUCUGGGACAACAGCCAUGCAGACCAAUUUGAUGCAGUGUGCGGUGUAUGAUCUGAGCACUGACAGGCUGACCCCCACCCCUUCAACCUGUGCAGCAAUGCUGGCAGCACUCAUACGUCUAUUUCCCAAAGACAACCUCUGGAUAUGAUGCUGAGCACGUGCACUCAACUUCUUUGGUCGACCAUGGCGAGGCCUGUUCUGAGUGGAACCUGUCCUGUUAAACCGCUGUAUGGUCUUGGCCACCGUGCUGCAGUUCAGUGUCAGGGUCUUGGCAAUCUUCUUAUAGCCUAGGCCAUCUUUAUGUAGAGCAACAAUUCUUUUUUUCAGACCCUCAGAGAGUUCUUUUGCCAUGAAGUGCCAUGUUGAACUUCCAGUGACCAGUAUGAGGGAGUGCGAGAGCGAUGACACCAAAUUUAACACACCUGCUCCCCAUUCACACCUGAGACCUUGUAAUACUAACAAGUCACAUGACACUCGGAGAGAAUAUGGCUAAUUCGGCCCAAUUUGGACAUUUUCACUUAGGGAUGUACUCACUUUUGUUGCCAACGGUUUAGACAUUAAUGGCUGUGUGUUGAGUUUUUUUGAGGGGACAGCAAAUUUACACUGUUACACAAGCUGUACACUCACUACUUUACAUUGUAGCAAAGUGUCAUUUCUUCAGUGUUGUCACAUGAAAAGAUAUAGCCAAAUAUUUACAAAAAUGUGAGGGGUGUACUCACUUUUGUGAGAUACUGUACGUCUCAACAGAGCAUGACAUGCUGGAUAAGGAGGAUUUAAUUGUUGUACCAGAGGCAUCAUUUUUAAUUGAUGAGGAAAUUGUGCUCGGAUAUGCUUUUCUUGAUGAUUGCCAGGAUGACCUUGAUGAUACCCUUCCAAUGGACCCAGUGCAGGAGGACAGGUUUACAGGACAGGAACCUUGUCAACCACCAAAGAUCAUCAGGCUAAGGCUUCACAGGGGAAAUGUUUUCAGUGAACUAAAUGCUGCUUUUAAAAAUGGUUGUGUGUUUGUAGAUGAGUCUCUCUUGGAGAUUGAGAUGGUCUUACCCAAUGGUAACACAAAGAAAGGAGAAGACAAUGGUGAAGUUUUGUGUGAUGUGUUAAGUGAGUACUGGGAGACCUUUAUUAUGAAAUGCACUGCUGGAAACUUACUUCAAAUACCAAUGACGAGACAUGACAUGAAAGAUGAGUGGAAACACAUAGCUAAAGUCAUGGUCCUUGGCUACAACCUGGUCAAGUACUUUCCCAUUGUGCUGGCCAAGCCCUUCCUCUCCUACUGUCUUGGACAUGAAAUCAUGGAUCACCUUUUUUCAACAUUCUUAGAGAUAGUUUCCAUUGAAGAAAAAGAAGUUGCUGAGCAAGCGAUGAAAGACUUCCAAACCUUCUCUGGAAGAGAGGAAUGGUUGGAUUUCCUAGAGGCACAUGAUGGCAAACUUCUCGUCACAGAAGCAAAUGUCAGAAAAACUUACUUGAAGUGGCACAUAGAGAAAUAGUUCAGGAGCCUGCAUAGAUAGCAGAGUGUUGGAGCAGUGUGCUCAAAGGGCUGAAACUGCCCCCAGGAGGAUUGGAUGAAGUCCUGGCCAGCCUCAUUCCUACACCCAGGAAGGUUGUUGCCAUGAUACAACAUGAGAUCCUCAACAAGAGAGAAAAUCAGAUUCUUGAUUUUCUCAAGAAGUUUAUAAGGAAUUGUGGUGAACUUCGGCUGAGGAAAUUUCGCAGGUUUUGCACUGGUGCAGAUCUCCUAGUUGCCCAGAAUAUCCAGGUCUGAUUCAUGUAGCCGGAGAUUAUGUUUACUAGAACACCCCAGGCCCACACAUGUGGCUGUGUGUUGGAAGUCCCAAACAACUAUGUGUCAUACCCAGUUUUGGUUGAAGAGUUCGUUAAUGUUCUUGAUGCAAACAUGCGGGUCAUGGACAUUAUUUAGUGGUGUUUUUCUUGUUUCAGAUUCAGUGUGAAAGCUGUGAACACUGGUUUCAUGACUGUUGCCUGAAAUCAUCUAGUGUCCCAGACAAACGAUCUACAUGGUAUUCUGUCCUGUGUAUUACAAUAGUAAAUAAAACAGAGAACAGGACAAGAGAAACCAUUUUUAAAGGUGC
ensembl:lncRNA